CUACGGGCGGCAGCAGUGGGGAAUAUUGCACAAUGGGCGCAAGCCUGAUGCAGCCAUGCCGCGUGUAUGAAGAAGGCCUUCGGGUUGUAAAGUACUUUCAGCGGGGAGGAAGGGAGUAAAGUUAAUACCUUUGCUCAUUGACGUUACCCGCAGAAGAAGCACCGGCUAACUCCGUGCCAGCAGCCGCGGUAAUACGGAGGGUACAAGCGUUAAUCGGAAUUACUGGGCGUAAAGCGCACGCAGGCGGUUUGUUAAGUCAGAUGUGAAAUCCCCGGGCUCAACCUGGGAACUGCAUCUGAUACUGGCAAGCUCGAGUCUCGUAGAGGGGGGUAGAAUUCCAGGUGUAGCGGUGAAAUGCGUAGAGAUCUGGAGGAAUACCGGUGGCGAAGGCGGCCCCCUGGACGAAGACUGACGCUCAGGUGCGAAAGCGUGGGGAGCAAACAGGAUUAGAUACCCGGGUAGUC
rnacentral:rRNA from 1 species